ACACGUAGGGGCCUGACGUUGUUCGGAAUCAUUGGGCGUAAAGGGCGCGCAGGCGGCCGUCCAAGUCCGGUGUUAAAUGGUCGAGCUCAACCCGAUCAUGCGCUGGAAACUGGGCGGCUGGAGUCCCGGAGGGGAUGCCGGAAUUCCAGGUGUAGGGGUGAAAUCUGUAGAUAUCUGGAAGAACACCGAUGGCGAAGGCAGGCAUCUGGCCGGAGACUGACGCUGAGGCGCGAAGGCGCGGGGAGCGAACAGGUUUAGAUACCCUGGUAGUCCGCGCAGUAAACGAUGCGCACCAGGUGUCGGGCGGCAGCGCCCGGUACCGGAGCAAACGCGAUGAGUGCGCCGCCUGGGGAGUAUGCCCGCAAGGGUGAAACUUAAAGGAAUUGACGGGG
rnacentral:rRNA from 1 species